GAUACUGUGGCUUAAUUGGUUAAACUGCCUGCCUUGUAAACAGGAGAUCCUGUGUUCAAAUCCCAGCAGUGCCU